UACAGACAGGAGGAAGAGAACAAAUCAAAUACCAGUGAACACAUUUUCCAUAAUCAAAGACGCAUCUAGGGGAUAUGUAAGUGCUUCAAGAAGACUGAUACUUUGGAAGAUACCAUAUAGACUUCUGUCAACAUAUUUUGAAUGUAUGUGUCAGAAUCAUGUUAUAAAACAUGAUCUUUAUUCAUGCGUGAAACAGUUCUGCUUGGCUCUCAGCAUUCUCCACAGCCGUUGAGAAGUCUGACUGGUCUGGUUAGUCGGUUCUCAGAAAUCGUGGACACAAUUACAUGAAGGACACAUGGCAGAGGCCGGACAACACAAUGAGUUUAAACUCAGGGUACCAGAGAGGGUUGUGCAGGCUGAUAGGAGAAAGGAUGUUACCGUCCCAUGUCACCUCUCUCCUGAGACCAGCGCUGCUGCCAUGACAAUCAGGUGGUUUAAGAAGACAGAGUGUAUUUACCUGUAUAAGAAUGGCCAGGUGAUAGAGGGGAGGGGCUAUGAGGGCAGAGUGAGUCUGGUCACCCAGGAGCUGAAGGGAGGCAACGUGUCUCUGAGGCUGAGAGACUUCAAGGAGUCAGAUGAUGGAGUGUACAUCUGUCAGGUCACCUAUGGAGGACAGAAGGAGGAGGAGGCUGUGCAUCUAUGGG